GCUGGGCGUGGUGGCGGGCGCCUGUAGUCCCAGCUACUUGGGAGGCUGAGGCAGGAGAAUCACUUGAACCCAGGAGGCGGAGGUUGCAGUGAGCCAAGAUUGCACCACUGCACUCCAGCCUGGGCAACAGAGUGAGAUUCUGUCUCAA
ensembl:misc_RNA Metazoa_SRP Metazoan signal recognition particle RNA